UCAGCGGCGGACGGGUGAAGUAACACGUGGGCAACCUGCCUGUAAGACUGGGAUAACUUCGGGAAACCGGAGCUAAUACCGGAUAACACCGAGGACCUCAUGGUCCUUGGUUGAAAGAUGGCUUCGGCUAUCACUUACAGAUGGGCCCGCGGCGCAUUAGCUAGUUGGUGAGGUAACGGCUCACCAAGGCGACGAUGCGUAGCCGACCUGAGAGGGUGAUCGGCCACACUGGGACUGAGACACGGCCCAGACU
rnacentral:rRNA from 1 species